rnacentral:rRNA from 1 species
GUUUGAUCCUGGCUCAGGACGAACGCUGGCGGCGUGCUUAACACAUGCAAGUCGAACGGUAAGGCUCUUCGGAGUACACGAGUGGCGAACGGGUGAGUAACACGUGAGCAACCUGCCCUUGACUCUGGGAUAACAGUUGGAAACAGCUGCUAAUACCGGAUACGACCUUGAUCGGCAUCGAUCGAGGUGGAAAGUUCCGGCGGUCAAGGAUGGGCUCGCGGCCUAUCAGCUUGUUGGUGAGGUAACGGCUCACCAAGGCUUCGACGGGUAGCCGGCCUGAGAGGGCGACCGGCCACACUGGGACUGAGAUACGGCCCAGACUCCUACGGGAGGCAGCAGUGGGAAUAUUGCGCAAUGGGCGAAAGCCUGACGCAGCAACGCCGCGUGCGGGAUGACGGCCUCGGUGUAACGCUUCUAGCAGGACGAAGCGAACACGUAGACGGUACCGUGCAGAAGAAGAC